GAACGUGAAGCCUAGUACCUAGUAUUGGGUGGAAAGUGGCGAACGGGUGAGUAACACGUUGGUGACCUGUCCCGAGGUGGGGAAUAACCGUGGGAAACCAUGGCUAAUACCCCGGAUGUCUAGGUUGUUAGAGGGCCUAGACCAAAGCCCCUGUAAGGGGUGCGCCUUGGGAGGGGCCUGCGGGCUAUCAGCUUGUUGGUGGGGUAACGGCCUACCAAGGCUAAGACGGCUAGGGGGCGUGAGAGCGCGACCCCCCACAAUGGAACUGAGACACGGUCCAUACUCCUACGGGAGGCAGCAGUGAGGAAUAUUGCGCAAUGGGGGCAACCCUGACGCAGCAACGCCGCGUGGACGAUGAAGGCCUUCGGGUUGUAAAGUCCUUUUUUGGGGGACGAUAAUGACGGUACCCCAAGAAUAAAGUCCCGGCUAACUACGUGCCAGCAGCCGCGGUAAAACGUACGGGGCGAGCGUUAUCCGGAUUUACUGGGCGUAAAGCGCACGUAGGCGGCGCCGUACGUUGGACGUGAAAGCUCUCGGCUUAACUGGGAGAGGUCGUUCAAUACUGCGGUGCUUGAGGUUGGAAGAGGAGAGUGGAAUUCCCGGUGUCAUGGUGGAAUGCGUAGAAUAUCGGGAGGAACACCAGUGGCGAAGGCGGCUCUCUGGUCCACACCAGACGCUGAGGUGCGAAAGCGUGGGGAGCGAACGGGAUUAGAUACCCCGGUAGUCCACGCCGUAAACGAUGGAUACUAGGUGUAGGAGGUCAUUUACCCCUUCUGUGCCGUAGCUAACGCGUUAAGUAUCCCGCCUGGGGACUACGAUCGCAAGGUUAAAACUCAAAGGAAUUGACGGGGGCCCGCACAAGCAGCGGAGCGUGUGGUUUAAUUCGAUGAUACGCGAAGAACCUCACCGGGGUUAGACAUGUUGGUAGUAGUGAAGCGAAAGCGGAACGACCCUUCGGGGAGCCAUCACAGGUGCUGCAUGACUGUCGUCAGCUCGUGUCGUGAGAUGUUGGGUUAAGUCCCGCAACGAGCGCAACCCUCGUCGUUAGUUACAAGUGUCUAACGAGACUGCCGGUAUCAAACCGGAGGAAGGUGGGGAUGACCUCAAGUCAGCAUGGGCUUUAUAUCCAGGGCGACACACACGC
rnacentral:rRNA from 1 species